rfam:Canis lupus familiaris chromosome 29, whole genome shotgun sequence.
GCCUGGGUGGCUCAGUGGUUGAGCAUCAGGUUGUGAUCCUGGGGUCUGGGGAUUGAGUCUCACAUCAGGCU